UUAAAAAGUAUGUAUUUAUAAAAUUAUUUCUUAUUAUGUUAUAUUAUAUGAUUGAUGUAUAAUGUAUUAUGAUGAUGAUUAUUUAUCAACUCAUCCAGGAUCCCGUCACUAGCAGGCAUUUUGAGGGGCAGAGACGAGGAACGCUCACCAGGAAGGCUCCCCUGUCCCUUACUGCAUGACGGCUUCUUCUUAACAGGCUUUGAGGGCCCUCCACCCAUUGGGUCCCUUGGUAACCCCCCCCGCCCACUAUGACGCCCCUGUGUGUGGAUGGACUACUGUACCUUUCAAUAACUGUUGAGUCUCGACCGGUGGUGGCUGGUGAUUGGUGGGGAGCGGAUCAGUCACACUUCAAAAGGACUGUCUGCUGAGGAUGACGGCCCCUCUAAGCGGUCCCGCUAUGUCUCGAUGGCUCGGUCUUCCCGCAAACGUGUUGCGUUGCAUAUCACAGUGACUACAACUGAAUACCUGGACACUCCUUCUCCACUGAGUAUGGGUCAUGCUGAAGGACACACUUUGUUCAUGAGCAUAAUGUGGAGCAGGGUUUGUACCAGAUUGGAAUUGGCG
ensembl:lncRNA